GAAUUGCACCUAAAGAGUGCAUGUUAAGUCAAAUUAUUUGAAUAAAAGUUUGAACUUAUAAGGAUAAAUUUAAAGAGAAAAUGACUCAUUAAUUAGAGUAAAAAGUAUUAGAUGGAUAUCUACAACAAGAGAAAAUUUAUACCAAAGGAUUUGAGAAAAGGGAAAAGAAUAUUUAGCUACACAUGGAUGAAUAGUUAGCAAGGAAUUUAAUCAAAGAAUGGAGGAAGAGUCAUCCUCGGAUAAUCUUAGUGCAUAAUGAGUAAAGUGAAAGAAUUGAUAUAAUGAAUAAAGAAUUGAUUUGAUGAAUGAAUGUGGUAUAAAAGAUGUAUUGAGAUGUUUAUGACAUAAGAAAAUUAUUAUAUCGAUAUAAUAGAAAUAUUUGCAUCAGCAAAUGAAUGGCCAUUCAGUGAGCAACUAGAGGCCAUCUUAAUAGUCACGGUCUUGAAAUACCAAUUGUUUGUCAAGCCCAAAUGACCACAAGACCCAAGUCUCUCAAAAAAAGAUAUGAUAGUCCAACUAUAAUUUUCAACUUGAGAUGCGGUAAUUAAAGAAUAAUUUACAUAUGAAGUGGUUCGAAAAGUAUGCUAAUAUAACUUUAAGAGAGCAACAGAAUUAUUUAUUUUCUGUUAUUUUUUGAAAGAAGAUAACAUGUUUUCAUUUUUUAUGUACAUGACUAAUUUAGUUAACCAAGUUGUAAAAACAUAUAUGACAUCUUCAAGAUACAUACAAACUUCAUGAAAAUCAUCUAACCGUGCAAUAUUGUAAUUUAACCCAAUUAUUAACUAUAUGCAAUUUACCCUAAGUAUUUAGCAAAUAUAUAAUAUCAAAGCAAACAAAGCACAACAUCUAUCUACGGUUUUACUAUAAUUUACGUUUUACUUACAUCCGAAAACGGGAGUACGAAGCGGGGAAUUUGACAGGGUUCGUUUUCGUCUCCGAGCGUCAUCUUUCCAAAGCGUUUUAGAUAAAGUACCUCGCAAGAUAAGAGAAAUAAAAUUGUUAGCGAAAUAAUGUAACGUAAAAGACAAACUGAUUAAGUGACAUGCAUUUUUGAAAUGAUUUUUGUUUUAAAAAUAUUUUUUGAAAAUUGCUCUUGAAAAUGAUUUGAAAAAUAUUUUUUUUUUUUCUGAAAGAUUGUUUGCAAAAUAUUUAUGGGAAAUUUUUUUUUUGGAAAAUAGUUUUAAAAAUAAUAUAAGAGGCUCAGAUAUAUGUAAUAUACGUCUAGACAUGAGAACACGAACCGUCUUGGUUGCGACUUCGGUGGCCAACCGUGUCACCCUCCGAAGGUUGGUUCGUCGUGUUCUCGUCUUUUAUAUUCCAAUCAUCAUCUUUUAUUUUUCGAUGUUUAUCAUCAUCGCCUCGUUAUUAUAGGGCCUAAUCCGAAGGAUCAUUCGGAGCAUCAUGGCCUUAAUAACUCGGUGGCUAUUUUUCAUCGACCUAGUGUCAAUCAAUGUGAUGUCAUUCUGUAUCAAUUUUCCCGACCCCGUAUUAUCAGGAAAUUAGUCAGACUAUAGCACUUGCAACAACCAACUAAUCAAACAUGAUGACGAUGAGGGACCAAAUAUUCAACAGAAUAAUUCGUCGUCUCCAUUAUUUUAGUUUAGCCGAUAUUUGAUGAAAAGCAAUAUUUCAAAACUUGAGAAUUCUUACAAAUACAGUGUAAAAAAAGGGGUCACGACAUCAACAUGGGACAAGCCAUUGAAGAACAUUUGGCGAUGAAGCAGCAGAAAUGGCAAGGGCCACAAUCAGCGGACAAAUCCCAAACGGAAGCCAAGGAGAAAUCAGAAAUUGCAAAGAUACAAUCAAACCAUCACAUAAGAAAAGGAGUUUGAAAGUAACAUCAAUAGCUAGUAAAACGAGUACGUGACAGUGGCCGGAAAUUUUGCGAGGCGCCGGAAAUUGCACAGGACGCCGGAAAAUAUUUUGUCGGCCGAAACUCCGACGGAAUGGUACCAAAAUACCACCAACACUAUCGAGUAAUCAGCCACAAACACAAAUCCAAAUUUGCAAAUCAUAAUCGACCAAGAACAGAGGAUCGCUGCAAUGUUAGGAGCACAACAGUCGCCGAAAACGUUAUUUCGGCAUGACCAUUUAUAAUCACAAAAGAACACAGUAACGAUAGCCAAAACAAAUCCGACCAGCAACCUAAAGAGUCGGCAGAAUCAGUGACGCUAUAAUCAUGGAGUCAGAGCAGCAUCUUAAAGAAGCCAAGCGAGCACGGUCACCGGUGAAGGAUUUUUCGAUAAGAUCUAAUAAUUUUAGUCAGAUCUAAUGAAUUUAUGAUCCCCGUUUUACAGUUGUUAAAGAAAGGAGAAGAGGGGAUGAAGAGGAGAGAGGAGAAGGCGGCAGCCAUGGCCGUUGAUGGCUGGCCGACGGCGAAAAUGGGGGAAAGAAGGAGCUCGGCGGCAGGUUCUCCAAAAUGAGAGAGAGUCCCUCUUGGGAGAUGCGGCUAUGUGUUAGAGAAGAAUGGGAGAUCG
rnacentral:lncRNA from 1 species